GUUCCUGGAUCCGGAGCCUCAUUGCUCUUACCUUUCGUGAGCCUCAACCUCUUUGCCGUCAAAUUGUUGUUGUUUGACGUUCCUGGAUCCUUCUUACGUUCCUGCUUCCUUCCUAUGUUCCUGGAUCCUGAGCCUCAUUGCUCUUACCUUUCGUGAGCCUCAACCUCUUUGCCGUCAAAUUGUUGUUGUUUGGCGUUCCUGGAUCCUUCUUACGUUCCUGCUUCCUUCCUAUGUUCCUGGAUCCUGAGCCUCAUUGCUCUUACCUUUCGUGAGCCUCAACCUCUUCGCCUCAUUGUUUGACGUUCCUGGAUCCGUCAUACGUUCCUGCUUCCUUCCUACGUUCCUGGAUCCGGAGCCUCAUUGCUCUUACCUUUCGUGAGCCCUCAACCUCUUUGCCGUCAAAUUGUUGUUGUUUGACGUUCCUGGAUCCUUCUUACGUUCCUGCUUCCUUCCUAUGUUCCUGGAUCCUGAGGUAAGUGAUCAUAUCGUCACUGUAAAGCUCUCUUUGAUAGCAGGAACAUGCUCAAUGCUGCUGUAAAACUGUUGUCUUUCUUGG